rnacentral:rRNA from 1 species
UACGGGGGGAGCAAGCGUUGUUCGGAUUUACUGGGCGUAAAGAGCGCGCAGGCGGUCGUUCAAGUCGCGUGUGAAAGCCCCCGGCUCAACUGGGGAGGGUCACGCGAUACUGAUCGACUCGAAGGCAGGAGAGGGUAGUGGAAUUCCCGGUGUAGUGGUGAAAUGCGUAGAUAUCGGGAGGAACACCAGAGGCGAAGGCGGCGACCUGGACAGGAACUGACACUAAACUACGAAAGCGUGGGGAGCAAACAGG